rnacentral:lncRNA from 1 species
AGAAGUCUUAUGAGAAUAGACAAGAUUCGAGGAACAUCUAGAAGUUAUAAUUCUCUUUGGUUCCAUUUAGUGAUGAAGAGAGAACAAGAGUAGCACUCAUAAAAACUCACAAAAAAACAAGAACACUAGAGAACAAGGAGAGAAGAUGAUAUUAAAUGAGAUGAUAAGAAGGGAUAGUGAAGUACCAUUUAUAUGCCCGGUUUAAUCGAUUAAGCAUUAAAAGCAUUUGAUUCUGAUUGAUUUGAUUGAGGAUGGAGGAUGCAUCUAGAGUUUA